UACGGAGGGUGCAAGCGUUAUCCGGAUUUACUGGGUUUAAAGGGUGCGUAGGUGGGCAAGUAAGUCAGUGGUGAAAUCUCCGGGCUUAACUCGGAAACUGCCAUUGAUACUAUUUGUCUUGAAUAUCCUGGAGGUAAGCGGAAUAUGUCAUGUAGCGGUGAAAUGCUUAGAUAUGACAUAGAACACCCAUUGCGAAGGCAGCUUACUACGGGAUUAUUGACACUGAUGCACGAAAGCGUGGGGAGCGAACAGG
rnacentral:rRNA from 1 species